rnacentral:rRNA from 1 species
CAGUCGCCGCGGUAAUACGAAGGGUGCAAGCGUUAAUCGGAAUUACUGGGCGUAAAGCGUGCGUAGGCGGCUAAUUGAGUCGGAUGUGAAAUCCCCGAGCUUAACUUGGGAAUUGCAUUCGAUACUGGUUAGCUAGAGUGUGGGAGAGGAUGGUAGAAUUCCAGGUGUAGCGGUGAAAUGCGUAGAGAUCUGGAGGAAUACCGAUGGCGAAGGCAGCCAUCUGGCCUAACACUGACGCUGAGGUACGAAAGCAUGGGGAGCAAACAGGAUUAGAUACCCCGGUAGUCCCUGUCUCUUAUAC